GUUAACUUUUGAACUACUGAUUGUAAAUGCCAAGUUUAACAAGUUGUCCAUAUGGCCUUGCCACUCGUUUCACCAUCAAGCCCUUCAUAUUUCCUCAUAUAAAUAUGCAACUGUUUGAAUUCAUGUUUAUCCAUUUCCUCUAAUAGAAAGCCAUCUACAAACAAAUCUAUGAAUAAAUAUUGCCAGCUCACCUUCACAGAGAAUCUGUAUGGUUGCACCUAGAUUUUUAAAUUUCAUAAUGGGCCAACUGGGAUGUCUUGCAAGAUGAAUCAUAUUUAAUACUAACUCUGACCUCCGUUUCUUGAGAGCUAUCAUGCUACAUCUGAGACUAUAACGUUGCUAUAAUAAGGUCAAUGCUUUUCGUGGCUCUAAUUUUACUUCUUGAUGAAAUCUUCACAUAUACUCAGAGAAUAUAUAUGAUGUGAAAAGAAGUGAGGUCAUUAACAUAUACCUGACACAUGGUGCAUGCAAAAUUUCAAUUUGUUCAGCCA
rnacentral:misc_RNA from 1 species